GACGUAAGGGGCAAGCGUUAUUCGGAUUUACUGGGCGUAAAGGGUGUGUAGGUGGAUCAAGAAGUUAGAUAUGAAAUUUUUAGGCUCAACUUAAAAACGUUAUCUAAAACCAUUGAUCUAGAGUUUAGAAGAGGAAGACGGAAUUUCUAGUGUAAGGGUGGAAUCUGUAGAUAUUAGAAAGAACACCGAUGGCGAAGGCAGUCUUCUAGUCUAACACUGACACUGAGGCACGAAAGCUAGGGGAGCAAACAGG
rnacentral:rRNA from 1 species